GACGAACGCUGGCGGCGUGCUUAACACAUGCAAGUCGAACGGAAAGGCCCUGCUUUUGUGGGGUGCUCGAGUGGCGAACGGGUGAGUAACACGUGAGUAACCUGCCCUUGACUUUGGGAUAACUUCAGGAAACUGGGGCUAAUACCGGAUAGGAGCUCCUGCUGCAUGGUGGGGGUUGGAAAGUUUCGGCGGUUGGGGAUGGACUCGCGGCUUAUCAGCUUGUUGGUGGGGUAGUGGCUUACCAGGGCUUUGACGGGUAGCCGGCCUGAGAGGGUGACCGGCCAAAUUGGGACUGAGAUACGGCCCAGACUCCUACGGGAGGCAGCAGUGGGGAAUAUUGCACAAUGGGCGGAAGCCUGAUGCAGCAACGCCGCGUGCGGGAUGACGGCCUUCGGGUUGUAAACCGCUUUCGCCUGUGACGAAGCGUGAGUGACGGUAAUGGGUAAAGAAGCACCGGCUAACUACGUG
rnacentral:rRNA from 1 species